rnacentral:tRNA from 5 species
GUGUUAGAAGCUAAAGUGGUCGAAGCGUCUGGUUGUGGUCCAGAAGAUAGUGAGUUCGAGUCUCAUUUAACACC